rnacentral:snRNA from 1 species
AGCUUUGUGCAGCAGCAGUAUCACAGUCAGUGAGGUUUAUCUGAGGUGAGAUUAUUGCUAAUUGAAAACUUUUUCCUCCCCA